rnacentral:misc_RNA from 1 species
AAUUCUUCUUCUUCCCUUUCUUUUCCCGAUUCUUCCCUUCUUUUAUUUUAUUUCACUUUUUUUGCUAGAGAGGACAUUCAGUUGGCUAGAAUGAGUGGGAGAAACGCAACCAGCUGUCCCUUUAAAACAAAAUUCAUUUUGGUCCUUUAUUCUUUCCAAAGUUCUAUUUUUCCAUCUCAACACUUCUAAUCUUCACUUAUAAGUCCAAAUUGAUAUUGAACUAUCUCCCCAACACUUCUAUAAAUUGAAUCUCAAUUUUCUAUAAAUUCAACUCUAACCACAAUUUCUAAUCCAAACCCACCAUGCUUCCACUAAAAUUACACACUAUUCAUCUAUAUACUCAAAAAAACUAUCAUACAUCAAUCCCUUCAAAAUAUAAUAAUAUAAGAUAACCAGAAUAACUCCAAUUACUAGAGUCUACUUCAAAACCUAUGCUUUGAUACCAUUAAAUGUCACACCCUAACCCUUUACUAAUAUCACAUCCUUCCUUUGCUUCCCAUGUCCAUGGAGUCUAGCAAAUAAGAGCUCCAAAACCACCGACUGAUACUCAACAUUCAGCUUAUAAUACUUGCAAAACUGAUGAGUUGAGAGGGCUGAGUAUAAUUACUCAAUAAGCAAAUAAAUAAAUAAAUAACAAUGGAAAAACGGAUAAGGUUUUGGUACUUAAUAGUACCAAUUUACUAUGCUAUAAUAAGUCAACUAAACAAUAUCAUUUAUUCCAAAUCACGUAACUAAGCUAAAUAAAUUCAUACUGUAAAAAUGUUGCUAAAUUAAAACUUGCUCAAAUGUUACAAGUAAUAUCCUCAUACACUAGCAAUACACUUCUUGUAGAUAGCCUCAUUCGCAUAAAACAAACUUUGGCAAUCUGAGAGUAAUGCUGACAUCAUGGGUGCUAUAAUUACAUAAAUAACCCAAGAGCAAUACAAAUACUAAUCAUACACAUUUGCAGAGCUAUCCUCAAAAGAUGAUCGCCCAAUAUAUGCCUCAAAGACUAUGUUUAUAUCAAGCAUUGUCCCAAAGAU